AGCCUUCAGAAUACGUGCUGAAACUUUGUCAGACACCAAACCAUCAGGACUGAUGAGACUCCCAAGAUAGGUGAAGUG
rfam:Schistosoma mattheei strain Denwood, Zambia genome assembly, scaffold: SMTD_scaffold0006624